rnacentral:rRNA from 1 species
GACGAACGCUGGCGGCGUGCCUAAUACAUGCAAGUCGAGCGAUGAAGAUUGGUGCUUGCCCCGAUUUGAAGAGCAGCGAACGGGUGAGUAACGCGUGGGGAAUCUGCCUUUGAGCGGGGGACAACAUUUGGAAACGAAUGCUAAUACCGCAUAACAACUUUAAACAUAAGUUUUAUGUUUGAAAGAUGCAAUUGCAUCACUCAAAGAUGAUCCCGCGUUGUAUUAGCUAGUGGGUGGGGUAAAGGCCCACCAAGGCGAUGAUCCGUAGCCGACCUGAUAGGAGGAUCAGUCCAACUGGAACUGGAACACGGUCCAGCUUCCUACGGGAGGAGCCAGAGGGGAAUAUUGGACAAUGGGCGAAAGCCUGAUCCAGCCAGGCGGGGUGGGUGAGGAAGGUCUUCGGAUGGUAAAGCACUUUAAGUGGGGAGGAAGGGCAGUAAGUUAAUACCUUGCUGUUUUGACGUUACCAACAGAAUAAGCACCGGCUAACUUCGUG